rnacentral:rRNA from 1 species
AGAGUUUGAUCCUGGCUCAGGACGAACGCUGGCGGCGUGCUUUACACAUGCAAGUCGAGCGAUGAGAUCCCUUCGGGGAGGGAUUAGCGGCGAACGGGUGAGGAACACGUGAGGAAUCUGCCUUCAACACUGGGAUAACUCCGGGAAACCGGGGCUAAUACCGGAUACGAGACCUGCAGGCAUCUGCGGGUCUGGAAAGUUUUUCGGUUGAAGAUGACCUCGCGGCCUAUCAGCUUGUUGGUGAGGUAAUGGCUCACCAAGGCGACGACGGGUAGCCGGCCUGAGAGGGCGACCGGCCACACUGGGACUGAGACACGGCCCAGACUCCUACGGGAGGCAGCAGUGGGGAAUAUUGGGCAAUGGAGGGAACUCUGACCCAGCGACGCCGCGUGCGGGAUGAAGGCCUUCGGGUUGUAAACCGCUUUCAGCAAGGAAGAAGCGAAAGUGACGGUACUUGCAGAAGAAGCACCGGCUAACUAUGUGCCAGCAGCCGCGGUAAUACAUAGGGUGCAAGCGUUGUCCGGAAUUAUUGGGCGUAAAGAGCUCGUAGGUGGUUCGUCACGUCGGAUGUGAAAAUCUGGGGCUUAACCCCAGACCUGCAUUCGAUACGGGCGAGCUAGAGUGUGGUAGGGGAGACUGGAAUUCCUGGUGUAGCGGUGGAAUGCGCAGAUAUCAGGAGGAACACCAAUGGCGAAGGCAGGUCUCUGGGCCAUUACUGACACUGAGGAGCGAAAGCGUGGGGAGCGAACAGGAUUAGAUACCCUGGUAGUCCACGCCGUAAACGGUGGGCACUAGUUGUGGGGACCUUCCACGGUCUCUGCGACGCAGCUAACGCAUUAAGUGCCCCGCCUGGGGAGUACGAUCGCAAGAUUAAAACUCAAAGGAAUUGACGGGGCCCCGCACAAGCAGCGGAGCAUGCGGCUUAAUUC